rnacentral:rRNA from 1 species
UACGUAGGGUGCAAGCGUUGUCCGGAAUUAUUGGGCGUAAAGAGCUCGUAGGCGGUUUGUCGCGUCUGCUGUGAAAACUCGGGGCUUAACCCCGGGCCUGCAGUGGGUACGGGCAGACUAGAGUGCGGUAGGGGAGACUGGAAUUCCUGGUGUAGCGGUGAAAUGCGCAGAUAUCAGGAGGAACACCGGUGGCGAAGGCGGGUCUCUGGGCCUGUCCUGACGCUGAGGAGCGAAAGCGUGGGGAGCGAACAGG